UUUCCAGAGUGUAUGUACUUCUUCCCUCUCCCGCUAGGGCAUGAGACUUCCCUCGUGCUGUUCCUCUAAGCCGUCACCCUAGGACCGGGCGCGUUCCUCUACCAUUUCGGCCAGCCUGGAGGCCAUUUCUUCCUGAUGGGGCCGUGGGAUCCAUGCUUUAUUCCGUUCGGCGGGCUGUGGAAGUUCCUGGUAGAUGUCCUAAGUGAAAAUGGAUUUCCUCAGUGGGCAGGAACAAAACUGCCAUGAUUCUUCCCGGAUACUGGAAUGCAGACACUGGACCUCAGCUCAAGUUGGCCUGCCCCAAUGCACCUGCAUCACUAGAGCAUCGUGUGAUGACUCAGUGAACGGGAGGAGGAGGACAGAAGGCAAGAUCCCGGACACGUAUUAUGAUUCUUGGAAGUCUGAAGGAAUUUAGGAUUCCUCACAGCAGGAAAAUGUCAGUAAAGAAGAUAUCAAGGAUCCUGGAGGUCCCACAAAAUGUUGCAUCUGGGUGAAAUUCGCAAGGUCAACUUAUUUCGUGGAAAAUGGCCACAUUUGCAUUUCGAACAAAUGAGCCUCCAUCUCUUCAUCUCCCUGCCUCCACAUUCUAUCCAAAGAUGACGCCCUUCUCCUCAGGGAGCAGGUAAAUAGGGAGAAAAUGGAUGGUUGUUAGCUACAGGCAGAGAAUGAGGCAUUUGGAGGCUGACACUCAGGAUUGCACAGAGUUGAAGUUGGCAGGAGUCCAGCUCCAGGCAGGUCAUGACCUCGGGGACCUCCGCUAGCCCUGCUGCCCCCAGCAGGAAAUGCCAGUGGGUUGAGG